GUGUAAUAUGGUCCCAUAUAAGCCUUGCGUUCACCAUUUUCUUGGCCACUGGGCUGCGGUCUUUGGCGGAAAAAGGCCGCAACAAAAAAGGGGAAGAGCUUUCUCCCAGUGUGUUCCCAGUGAUGGAAAUGGCAGAUGGUGGAACAGACAAAAAGACAAAAAACAACUCAACCUCGCAAGAGAAAAAGAAUCCCAUUGACGGUGGAGCAACGGCAGGUGAAGAAGGGGAGUGAUGGGAAAAGAGAUAUAAAACAAGAGUGAACCUCCGACGGGCAUCGACUCGAGAGGCUUCAAAAAACAAAAUGCAGUUUGUUUUCUUCCUAGCUGAUCAGAGCGGUGGUGUGUAUCCCCAUGUGAGAGGCAGGUGGGCGAGGGCAGGGGGCACCAGUGGAGCCCACCAGGCCCAAUCCAUCACACAGUGACAGGAGCCAUUAGAGCACGGAGGAGCAUCUGUGGAGCCCCAGAGGAGCACGAUGACCUGCCGCAACUUGAGCCUGUGGAAGACGCAGACGUCGUACAGCGCCGACAAAGCCAGGACGGUGACCCCGAGCUCCUUCCACAGCAUGCUGCAGGCGGCGCACGCCAGGCUGCACAGGAGCCAGGCCGCGAGCCGCCAGGGCCCGGCGUGGCCCCGCAGCGUGCAGUGGCGCAUGUAGCAGAGCAGGGACAGC